AUUGAACGCUGGCGGCAGGCCUAACACAUGCAAGUCGAGCGGAUGAAGGGAGCUUGCUCCUGGAUUCAGCGGCGGACGGGUGAGUAAUGCCUAGGAAUCUGCCUGGUAGUGGGGGAUAACGUCCGGAAACGGGCGCUAAUACCGCAUACGUCCUGAGGGAGAAAGUGGGGGAUCUUCGGACCUCACGCUAUCAGAUGAGCCUAGGUCGGAUUAGCUAGUUGGUGGGGUAAAGGCCUACCAAGGCGACGAUCCGUAACUGGUCUGAGAGGAUGAUCAGUCACACUGGAACUGAGACACGGUCCAGACUCCUACGGGAGGCAGCAGUGGGGAAUAUUGGACAAUGGGCGAAAGCCUGAUCCAGCCAUGGCGCGUGUGUGAAGAAGGUCUUCGGAUUGUAAAGCACGUUAAGUUGGGAGGAAGGGCAGUAAGUUAAUACCUUGCUGUUUUGACGUUACCAACAGAAUAAGCACCGGCUAACUUCGUG
rnacentral:rRNA from 1 species